ensembl:misc_RNA Metazoa_SRP Metazoan signal recognition particle RNA
GCCACAAAAGAGUGUUGGCAUGUUCCUGUAGCCCCUAGCUAAUACGGAGGCUGAAGCAGGACGGCUUGAAUCCAGGAAGGUGAGGCUGUAGUGGGCUAUGCUGAUCAUUGUCUGCACUAAGUUCAGCAUCAAUAAGGUAACCUCCAGGGAGAAGGGGACCACCAGGUUGCCUAAGAAGGGGUGAACCAGCUCAGGCAGGAAAUGCAGCAGGAAAAACUCCCAGAGUGAUCAGUAGUGGCGUCACAUGUGGAAAUAGCCACUGCACUCCAGCCUGGGUAACAGACUGACACUCUGUCUCAA